GAAGUGGUAAAAAUAUUAGUGUGCGAUGUUGUCAAUGUACGGAGUGUCUUGUAUCCGUAAGAACUGUGUCGAUGACGUCAUGGUGGAGCACUUUGCAUGUAAACAACUGAUGGUGAUGCCAAGCCCGGGCUCCCUCAACCUCAAUGUUACUCCAAUUACAAUUGGGCACAUCCGAUCCCUUGUUCGUCGUCGCCACUCAACCAACAACAGUAGGCAUCCAUCAGUCUCAGGAGACUAUGGAGUUGCGCUCUGGUUUUCGGUCUGGCGUGGCCUCACCAGGGGCACAAAGCCAGGGACCACCCUCAAGGUGCCGGACCAACCAGGCUGUAGUGGAUAUGUGGGCCUGCAGAUUGCUCCAAACAACAAUCUGCUGGACCAAGUUAUCAAGUCGAGCCUGGCCUCAGGCUGGGCUCAGGAAGUAGAACUACUCCCGAAAUCCUCUGGUCCAGACUAGGUUGAUUUAGAAGAACAAGACCCAUGAUAGUCAAAAGAUCCAAGAAGUCAGCAAUUCAUCUAAAACUUAAUGUAUAGGCCACAAACAAUGCAAUAGUAAUCUAACAAAAAUACUUUAAUCAUCAGUAAGGAAAAACCUAAUACAGUACAUAGUAUAUGGUACAGUAUUACCACAUUUUAUCAUGUCACUAAUGGCCAGAUAUAAAUUUUGGAAAAAAAUUAUAGUUUGUCUACCAACACUUACCUACUCAUGCCUUUUCAAGUAAACUUUCUCGUAUUUCAUCGUACCUGUAACAAACAAAAUAAUUGUCAUAUAUAUAUAUAUAUACUGUACAUUAAACAUCAGUGAAUAAUUACAAUAUACAUAGAAUAUUUUUUGUACAGUUAAGCAGAAAGUCUGUGCAUAAAUUAAACCAAUACAUAAUCAAUGUUAAAAUAUUAAAAUGGCCAAUCCAUGAUGCUGCUGUUAGCUUUUAAAUGGUUAGGAAAACAGAUAAACAAAUCAAGAUAUCAUGAAAAGUGGUGUACAAAAAUCUGUAAAUUCUAAGAGUGAUUGAGAGGAUUGUUUAUCAAGAUGAUUAGGUUAUAUGGAAUGAAUGUAUGAUAGUAGAGUGAUUAAAAGUAUUUUGUGACUUUGAAAGUAGAAAAAGGAAAAAAGCCAAAAAUAUGCAGUGUCUGUGAGGAAGUAGAAAUUAAGUAUAAACAACAAACAAGAAGUGGUAGGGGAACAAGGCUAGAUAUACCUAGAUAUAGUGUUUCUGCCCAAAAUGCUAUGCGUGUUAGUGGUUUUACAAGAAUGUAAAAACAUCAAUGUUAUGUAUUCUCAUAAACCCAUUGUACCUUCUUGUAUUUGCAUAUAUAAAUAGAUAUAAUCAAUGUGUUAGGUAGAGUGAAUAUUUGAAAUUUUUUAGAUAACUUUGGGAUGCACUUGUAUGAAGAGGUAGGGGCUCCUGCUGUUUAUGUGCAUUAUUGCCGGAUUUUGACAAUGCUGGUUUAUAUGUGAUGCUGUAGUAUGGAAGAUGUAAUGAGGGUAAUAAUUUUUUUAAUAUCUGGAAUACUAAGGUAGGGUUUCUCGUUCCCCAUCCUACUGCUGCUACCUAAGUUUCAAGAAGUAGUGAUUUCCACAUACAAGUCAGACUUUCACACUUUGUCUAGCUUCAGUGCCUGCCAAGAUAUCAGUGUGCACUUGUGGUUCUGAGCUUGAAUCUUUACGCUUUGUAACUAGGUCACUGGAGUACAAUAAACAUCACUUUGGAGAUAGGAGGUUAUCUCGAGAUGAUUUCGAGGCUUAGCACCCCCGCGGCCCAGUCCUCAACCACGCCUCCUUUUUGUUACAACCCCUACCCCCCAGAAACAGCCCAUAGCAGCUGUCUAACUCUCAGGUACC